CUGUUGUUCUGCUUUUCUUUUUUCCCACUGGAGGAUACUCUCUGAAGUGUUACUCGUGCUUAUCUGCUCAGGGGGGUUCCUGUAAAGCAGAAGUGGAGAUAUGUGGAGAUGGAUUUUCCAAAUGUGAAAGCAAAACAGUAGAACAAUCCAUUGGUGGUUUCGCUAAGGUGUCUAUCACAACUAAACAGUGUGCACUUAGAUGUGAAGCUGGGACCCAACAGCUAAUAACUGGAGGGACUGUAACUACCCACUGCUGUGAAACUGACCUCUGCAAUGCAGCAGGUGGCGUGUAUAAGGGAAGCUUCCUCCUUCUGUUGUCUCCUCUGCUCUUCUACUUCCUGUUUCAUUGAGUCCAGCCGCACUUCAGAUUCUACAGCUGCAGCAGAAACUGAAUGUUACACAUUUCUAGUCAUACUUUAUUAAUAAAGCUUGUUUUGUUGUUCUGCUGUUCUUUGGUAUCAUGAUCUGAGGAACGGAAAAUCUGUAUUUUAUUUUAAAAAUUAACCAAAAUAAUAAAUACAAUAAUAAAUGUUCUACUGUUCUUCGGUAUCAUGAUUUAAGGAACAGAUCAUCUGUACUUUAUUAAAUAAAUGUUAAAUAAAAUACUGCACCAACACUGUAACAGACAAAUAAUUAUUCAAAAAAGUUGGGAAAUUUUGUAGUAAUGAGUUUGCAAUAUCUGUAGUAACUUUUUAGAGUAAGAAUAUUCCUGAGAUUCAGUAAUAUUUCAGCCCUCCAGAUUUUUUAAAGUAGUGGUUCACCAAAAAUGAAAUGUUACUAUUGUGAUGAGAAGAGCUGCUCAAACAUAUUGAGCUGUUCAGGGAGUGAAGACCGCUGCUUUAAAGCAACAGGUGAGAAAAGGCUGCAUCUCUAAAUCUAUCUGUGAAGCCACAACAUCAGUUGGUGAUGUUGAAGGCAUCACAUGUUGUUCAGGGAACCUGUGUUGAGAGCACCACUCAGAGCUUCCUGUUCCUCUGCUGUUCUCUGCUCUCCUUCAUCCUGCUGCACUGAAUCCAGCAGCUCUUCACGUUCUACAAUCAGACACACUGUACUGAAUACAUAGUAUUUUCUGUACUAUGUAUCUUUAGUGUCCGAU
rnacentral:lncRNA from 1 species